rfam:Microsporidia sp. TGP3 contig-78, whole genome shotgun sequence.
GGUCAGAUGGCCGAGUGGUCUAAGGCGUGGCGUUAAGGCCGCCAUCUCUUCGGGGGCGCGAGUUCGAACCUCGCUCUGAUCA